rnacentral:rRNA from 1 species
UACGUAGGGGGCAAGCGUUGUCCGGAUUUAUUGGGCGUAAAGAGCGUGUAGGCGGUUUUCUAAGUUUGGUGUGAAAUCUCCCGGCUCAACUGGGAGGUGCGCCGAAGACUGGAAGGCUUGAGUAUGGGAGAGGUAAGCGGAAUUCCUGGUGUAGCGGUGAAAUGCGUAGAUAUCAGGAGGAACACCUGCGGUGUAGACGGCUUACUGGACCAUAACUGACGCUGAGGCACGAAAGCGUGGGUAGCAAACAGG